rnacentral:rRNA from 1 species
CCAAUAGCGUAUAUUAAAGUUGUUGCAGUUAAAAAGCUCGUAGUUGAAUUUCGGGAUUUGUCAGUUGGUCGGGCUUAACUGUCCGUAUUGACUCGAUGGAUUCUUACCUUCUGAAUAACCAGCAUGCUAUUAAUUUAGUGCGUUGGGGAAGCAGAUCUAUUACCUUGAAAAAAUUAGAGUGCUUAAAGCGAGCUAGUGCUUGAAUAGAUUAGCAUGGAAUAAUAAAAUAGGACGGCAUGGUUCUAUUUUGUUGGUUUCUAGGAUCACCGUAAUGAUUAAUAGGGAUAGUUGGGGGCAUUAGUAUUCAAUUGUCAGAGGUGAAAUUCUUGGAUUUAUUGAAGACUAACUUCUGCGAAAGCAUUUGCCAAGGAUGUUUUCAUUAAUCAAGAACGAAAGUUAGGGGAUCGAAGACGAUCAGAUACCGUCGUAGUCUUAACCAUAAACUAUGCCGACUAGGAAUCGGACGAUGUUAAUUUUAUAAUGACUCGUUCGGCACCUUACG